rnacentral:rRNA from 1 species
UACGGAGGGGGCUAGCGUUGUUCGGAAUUACUGGGCGUAAAGCGCACGUAGGCGGCUUUGCAAGUUAGAGGUGAAAGCCCAGGGCUUAACCCUGGAAUUGCCUUUAAAACUGCAUCGCUAGAAUUGUGGAGAGGUAAGUGGAAUUCCGAGUGUAGAGGUGAAGUUCGUAGAUAUUCGGAAGAACACCAGUGGCGAAGGCGACUUACUGGACACAUAUUGACGCUGAGGUGCGAAAGCGUGGGGAGCAAACAGG